CAUUGUUCCCCUCCUCUUCUUCACAUGCUUCUAUACUGUUUAGUCAUUCUUCCUCCUGGGCAGUGUCCUAUGUCCAGGUUCUCCCAACAGUAGCUAUAGGUCUUCUGCUCAUGAAGUCGGUCCUACUAUUUUGGAGUCUAUACGUCCUCAAGGUCAUUCUACUUCUCUUCAGGAAGAAGUGGCCCCUAGUGGAAGCUUCCCCAGUUCCAGGAAAGAAAUCCAGGCACUUUUUUUGCCUGGCAGAAUUUGGACAGCUAUAGAAGCAGUGGAAGGAGGAAGAGAAGCCAACAUCGUCAUGUUACCUGCUGCUUUACAUUUUUCUACUUUCCAAAAGCAACCUUUUUCUUUGUUAACAGUGGCUCUUGGCUCUGGAGGAUGAGCAAGGAGUAGAACAAGGAAACUGCAAUAUACUGAACAGAAGGUGCAGCCCCCUGAGCAUUCAGCUAAGGUCGUCUUUAAUGCUAGCAGUUUCCUCUCGUCUCCUGGAUAAACAGCCUGAAUGAUUCUGCAGGUACAACAGCAAAACAAAGACAGUUCAGAACCUUUGACUUCAGUCCUCAGGGUGCAAUAUUUAUAUCCCAGCUAAACAAAACCAAACCCCAAGGUUUUACUGGCAGUAGAUGGUGAGAAAUCAAAGCCACACAUCCAAACCUCUGGUUGGGUCUGAUCUUCAGUCCUGCGGCAACUGAAUGAGGAGUCCUGCUUGCUCCAAGAUAAUCCUUCCCUUUUUCUCCUACGGAGUCCUUCUUCCUGUGGAGUCUGAUUUGUCUGCUAUCUCUGGCCCUGCUGUAGCUGCUUCGUCUGAGAACCUACCAUGAAAGCUACACCAAAGAGUUGCUUUGUCACAGUAGCCUUGUCGUAAGAGACUGAAAUCUCCAUUAAAAUGCACUAGCUCUCUCAUGGAAAUUACAUAUAAGCAGCCUUAACAGCACUAGGGAAUCCCCCAAGCUGCUAACUCCCAGUUUGCCCAUGAUGCAGUACACUCUUCUUCAUCUAUUCGUUCCUCCCACAUCUCCCCCUCUGCCCACUGUCAUUUUAACUAAGGUCAGGCAAAUGUUAUAUCUUUUUAAAUUAGACGGGGAAAACCAAAGCCAAGCUCAAACAACCCAAGCUAUACUCGCUGGCUCACUGUCUGCUGUGUGAAUGAAUCUGACAUAUGGGAUAUAUGCAUCUUCAUCAGUCACUAACACCUAUUUAGAAUUCAAAACUGCCCUCCAACCUGCACACAUGCAUCUGUUAUUGCUGCCACUUUUUCCUAUGGAAAGUACUGAACUGUGAAAUUAACUUUAUGGAAGUUCUUACUUUAAAUAAAUCCACUUCCCACCUCA